UACGUAGGGGGCAAGCGUUGUCCGGAUUUAUUGGGCGUAAAGAGCGUGUAGGCGGCCAGACAGGUCAGCUGUGAAAACUCGAGGCUCAACCUCGAGACGUCGGUUGAAACCGUAUGGCUAGAGUCCGGAAGAGGAGAGUGGAAUUCCCGGUGUAGCGGUGAAAUGCGCAGAUAUCGGGAAGAACACCCAUGGCGAAGGCAGCUCUCUGGGACGGUACUGACGCUGAGACGCGAAAGCGUGGGGAGCGAACAGG
rnacentral:rRNA from 1 species